CGCGUAGGCGGCCUUCUAAGUCGGACGUGAAAUCCCUCGGCUCAACCGAGGAACUGCGUCCGAUACUGGAGGGCUGGAAUCCGGGAGAGGGAUGUGGAAUUCCAGGUGUAGCGGUGAAAUGCGUAGAUAUCUGGAGGAACACCGGUGGCGAAGGCGGCAUCCUGGACCGGUAUUGACGCUGAUGCGCGAAAGCCAGGGGAGCAAACG
rnacentral:rRNA from 1 species